UCGACGGCGGCGACCUAUUUUUGCUACAACCGUUGUAAUUUUUGCUACGUCCGUUGAUGGUUUGUGCUACAUCCCUUUUUUCAUGAUGAACCUGCAGGCUCGACGGCGGCGACCUAUUUUUGAUACAACCUCUGUACUCUUUUCUACGCCCGUCGAGGAUUUUGGCUACAUCCUUUUUUCACCAUGGACCUGCAGGCUCGACUGCGAUUAGCGGCGGGUGGGAGUGGCUGGCGAGCACGGGCGGCGCAGGGUUGACCGGUGAGCAUGGGCGCGAGCGCGGGCGGCCGGCGAUUCAGGCGCAAGCGCGGGCAGCCGGCGAGUGAAGGCGCGAGCGCGGGCGGCUCGGGUGUGGCCGGCAAGCACGGGUGAAGAGAGCAGGAAAGGUCCAAUCCAACGGUUGUAUAUACGCGAAUCGGAUGGCUGCGCGCUGACCGGCCCAAAUUUGGGCCGGUGCGCCGGCGCCUAUCGGUGCCCUUUCUGAUAUCCCAACGCCACAAGCCCAGCCCACAGUUCGCCGAUCUACGUCCUCCUCUCCCUUGUUCGUCCUCCUCACCGGUCGCUCGCCGGCGCAGGCUCUCCCGAACCCAACCGCAGCCGUCGCGGCCGCUCGCCAUCCGUCCUGGUCCGCCGCUUCAGCCUCGCCCUCCAAGCCUGCAUCCCGCCUCCCUCCACCGCCGCCACCGCUCAAGGUGAAGGGGAAGCAAUUUUGCGUGGAAGUUCCGUUUCUCUCCGAUGUCUGAGAAGAAAGCUCCUAGGAAGUUUAUCUGGUCGGUGGACUGCAGCGAUAUUCAGAGAGGGGCAGUGCACCAACCAACUGGCACAAGCUGUACACUGACGGCAUCCAGUUUGGCCUUCCCGUCAACAUAAGUUAUCAUUCCUGUUCAUCUGUCUCUUCUGUGAUCCGAUUCACGCGACUUAAGAGUUAAGAGGCACACCCAUCUGCGUGCCAGAUGCUUGGAUCAGGAGGGUCAGGAAACAGAAUUCAGCUGCGUAGCUUGACAGUGAUGUAUGUCUGUGGUUUGCUAGCUGAGUGGAAGAGAAGCAGUUGGCAUGGAAGUUCCAUUUCUCUCUGAUGUCCGAGAAGAAAGCUCUUGUAGAAAAUGGUUGUGUACACAGUGCCUAAUCUGUUUUGUACCAUCACAUUUCAUAUGUCCAUCGGAGAAAAUGUGCUUUCUUUAGGGGUGUUGGAGUGGACCGAGUUACAGUCCUCAUUUAUAUGGGCAUAGGCAGUGACAAAGAAAAGGGCACUGCAAUCAUUUGUUUUA